AGAAAGUACUGUUUCAUCUCUUUACAAAAGGUGUUUACUGGAGGUCUAUUUUGAUGAAAAAUGACAAGUUGUAGUUAAAUGAAAUUUGUCUUGUCUAGGUGCUUACUGUAAGUCUUAGUUGUCAAUGACAGUUACAUCUUGGGAGGAAUGAAUGCAAUUA